GGAUUAGAUACCCUGGUAGUCCACGCCGUAAACGAUGAGUGCUAGUUGUUGGGGGGCUUGCCCCUCGGUGACGUAGCUAACGCGUUAAGCACUCCGCCUGGGGAGUACGGCCGCAAGGUUAAAACUCAAAGGAAUUGACGGGGGCCCGCACAAGCGGUGGAGCAUGUGGUUUAAUUCGACGCAACGCGAAGAACCUUACCAGCUCUUGACAUGCUAGGUUUCGGGAUCGAGAGAUCGUUCCUUUCAGUUCGGCUGGGCCUAGUACAGGUGCUGCAUGGCUGUCGUCAGCUCGUGUUG
rnacentral:rRNA from 1 species